GCCCCGCUGGCUCAAUGGUAGAGCAUUAGACUUCUAAUCUAAAGGUUGCGGGUUCGAUCCCCGCGUGGGGUU
rnacentral:tRNA from 1 species